UAUCUCUGUAGAGUCUGCAUAUCAAUAAGCGGAGGAAAAGAAACUAACUAGGAUUCCCUUAGUAACGGCGAGUGAAGCGGGAAGAGCUCAAAUUUGAAAUCUUCAAGGUUUUACCUUGACGAAUUGUAGUUUAAAGAAGUGUUUUCUGUUGGUGUUUUGGUAAAAGUUCUUUGGAAUAGGACAUCAUAGAGGGUGAGAAUCCCGUAUUUGACCAUUACUUCCAGCGUUGUGAUACACUUUCAAAGAGUCGGAUUGUUUGGGAAUGCAGUCCAAAAUGGGUGGUAAAUUUCAUCUAAAGCUAAAUAUUGGCGAGAGACCGAUAGCGAACAAGUACCGUGAGGGAAAGAUGAAAAGAACUUUGAAAAGAGAGUUAAACAGUACGUGAAAUUGUCAAAAGGGAAGCGUUUGACACCAGUGUUGUUUUCUCGAAAAUCAAUUAAAAAAAGUUGGAUUUUGUAUUGUUAAGACCUUAUCAGCUUACUGUACUCUUUUCUUGCUUUUUUUAAUGCACUUUUCGUUUAACAAGUCAACAUCAAUUUCCUUUGUUGUAAAAGAGUCAUUGGAAGGUGGCUUUCACUUCGGUGAAAGUGUUUAUAGCCUUUGGCUUCUGCAAUCGGAGAGAUUGAGGUCUGCAGCGUAGAUCCUUCGGGGCUAGAUACGUAGAUGCUAAGUUAUAGUUUUUUAUAGACAACUUGUUGACUAUAAUUAAUCAUGUAGCUUACUCGUUUGCGCUAUUUUACCUACGCUUAGGAUGUUGAAGAUGUAGCACAUCAU
rnacentral:rRNA from 1 species